AAGGUACGGUCCAGUUUCUUACAUAUGUGAAAUGGAGAUGAUACAGACUGCAGUUCCUCUCGGCAUCAGCAGAGACGCUGUUAAAUUGAAGGAACUAAAAGUUUCAGUCCUCGCUCAUCUUCGGUCUUGCUCUUAAGAGAGAUUAUGCCCCACUGGCAAGAGAUCUUAGGAGAGAACUGUGAUGCUUUUGUUUGCUGAACAAACCCUGAUUCAUCACUUUCCUUACAUCACCACCCAGCUCUCCAGCUUCUCAACCCAGAGACUGGUAUUUCUUUCCUUUAGUGAAUGGGAUAAAAUUGCAAGAAGCGAACACAAAAGGCUUUGGGGGCUGGCUGCCAUCAGCGUGACAAGGCAUACGCUUGAGGCACCAAAUUGGGUUUCACAGGCAAUCUUAAUUUUUGCAUUAUUUUACUUUUG